rnacentral:rRNA from 1 species
GACGAACGCUGGCGGCGUGCUUAACACAUGCAAGUCGAACGGAAAGGCCCCCACUUUUUUGGUGGGGGUGCUCGAGUGGCGAACGGGUGAGUAACACGUGGGUGAUCUGCCCUGUACUUCGGGAUAAGCUUGGGAAACUGGGUCUAAUACCGGAUAGGACCAUGGUUUAGUGUCUCAUGGUGGAAAUAUUAUUGUUUUGGUGCAGGAUGAGCUCGCGGCCUAUCAGCUUGUUGGUGGGGUAAUGGCCUACCAAGGCGUCGACGGGUAGCCGGCCUGAGAGGGUGGACGGCCACAUUGGGACUGAGAUACGGCCCAGACUCCUACGGGAGGCAGCAGUGGGGAAUAUUGCACAAUGGGCGCAAGCCUGAUGCAGCGACGCCGCGUGGGGGAUGACGGCCUUCGGGUUGUAAACUCCUUUCGUUAGGGACGAAGCCGCACCUUUUUUGGGUGUGGUGACGGUACCUUUGUUAAGAAGCACCGGCUAACUACGUG